GGUUGGCUUAGGUGCUCGCGGUCUGUGCUGACCAAGUGGACGUGAAGAGGGCACUCGUGACACCCUCGUGUCGGCCACACGUGCUCCUUUCUCCUCCUCCUGGACCCCAGGACCGCACAGCCAAGGCCAUGUCCACUCUGCAGACUCUGCCAAGACCACCUCGGAGGCCAUUAGGGCCUCACCAAGGCCCAGACAGGACUUCAAGCUACUUUCAUGAGAGCAGCCACGCAGCUGGGGUGGGGCGUGGGGCGUUGCCGCCGUCUGGGACAGAGGCUCUGGGCUGGGGUUUCUCCUGUCGGCCUGUCCCAUCCAGGAGCAGGCGCUGGCAGUACUGGGCAGGGUAUGAGUUACCCGCAGCACCAUGAAGGUGAAGUGAGGGGUCAUGGUCAAGACCCGGCCGGGGGGCUCAGGGUGAGUGUGCUCCGGGAGGGGCACCACCACGGCUGCACGGAGUCCGUGGGCUCCCUCGUGGCUGCUGGUUUUCGGUGCCCUGCACCCACCCGGCGCUUGCUCUCGGGUCUCUGUGUUGUGACUCCUGCAGUCCACCUUCAUCCUCCCGGUUUCCUUCCAGCAUGGGGGAGGACAGCUCCCGUGGGUCCUCAGAGGCACGCUGACUGCAUGCCGCUGCCCACACGGCUCCUGCCGCUGCCCGGCCUUCAGAUGGCAGCUCCAGGUAGAGAAGCUCCUGCUCCUGGUGGGUGCGUAGUACCCACCCACAGAUACAGCACACUCGGCGACCACAGGGCAAUCACAGCCAGCUCGCACGGGCCUUCCCACCGAGCUGCCACUGUCACUCACGGCUUCACAUGGAAAGCCGCAGGGCCAAGUCCACAACAGCCAGGGAGCAGGGCAAAGUGAGGCAGGGCCCCUGCACCCACUUUGUAGACGGCUCGGUGGUCACCCACACGCACAGCCAGCAGGAGCCCAUGUUCCUGGCUCUCACUUCCCUCCGCUGGUGAGGUCUAUGCCAAGGAAGGAGCUAAAAAGGGACAGUAGUGGGGCCUGCAGAUGCCUCAUUGUUCAGGUUCCCAGUCCACAGCAUGUCCACCCAGCAAGUGGAGGGGCUGUGUCCACGGGGGGCACUGAAUGGCAGCUGGACAACUCAGGGAAGGUGGGCUUCCAGCCUUCAGUGUCUUGGGGACCGCCUGCCCUGCCCUACGUUCCUCCAGGUAACCAGCACAGGGUGGAGCCUGGGGCACACAUCACCUGGCAGGCUGUAGUGGGUUUCUUGAAGCAGCUGGGUGGCCACCCCUGACCAAUGCUUGACCAUCCAGAAUAGCCAAGCACUGACUGGUCAUUUACAACCAACUCGCCCACCCCAGAUGUGGUGUCGUCCCGGGCCCCCCCUUGCAGCCCAGGUGAGCCAGCUAGUCAAGAGUGCUUGCAUGAAAGGUACAGAGCGCCACCGCCCACCAAGCAAGCUGCUCAGGGACGGCCUCAGAGAAGGGCCAGUCGGCGAACAGCCACCGGGCAGAGGCACUGCAGGGCCGCCGUCGGGUCCCAGAACCAGCCUGGGCCAGGCCGAGCCCAGCGUCCAGGCCCUUUGGUUGUCCUGUGGCUGAUACUACGUGCUUACCACUCAGCUGAGCAGCUGCAGGCCAUGUUCUUCUCACUCAAACCCAGGGGGACGCACAGAGCUGGACCAGGGACAGAUGGCCCUGAGGCCCAUGGCAGAGGUCACUCAUCUCAGACAGUAAGUUGGGUGCUCAGUUCUUACCCAUGCUUUGAUCCUCUGACCCAAUCAGGCCAAGUGCUGGGGGUGGGAGCUACAGCCUCCAGACAGGGACAAGAACAGGCAGGCACGAGGUCAGAGCACUGGGGCAUGGGAGCUACAGCCUCUAGACGUGGACGAGAACAGGCCGGCACGAGGUCGGAGUGCUGGGGUGUGGGAGCUACAGCCUCUAGACAUGGACGAGAACAGGCCGGCAUGAGGUCGGAGUGCUGAGGCGUGGGAGCUACAGCCUCUAGACAUGGACGAGAACAGGCCAGCACGAGGUCAGAGUGCUGGGCAUGGGAGCUACAGCCUCUAGACACGGACGAGAACAGGCCGGCACGAGGUCAGAGUGCUGCGGCACGGGAGCUACAGCCUCUAGACACGGACGAGAACAGGCCGGCACGAGGUCAGAGUGCUGCGGCACGGGAGCUACAGCCUCUAGACAUGGACGAGAACAGGCCGGCACGAGGUCGGAGUGCUGGGGCACGGGAGUUACAGCCUCUAGACGCGGACGAGAAGAGGCCGGCACGAGGUCGGAGUGCUGGGGCACGGGAGCUACAGCCUCUAGACGUGGACGAGAACAGGCCAGCACGAGGUCAGAGUGCUGGGCAUGGGAGCUACAGCCUGUAGACGCGGACGAGAACAGGCCGGCACGAGGUCGGAGUGCUGGGGGUGGGAGCUACAGCCUCUAGACACGGACGAGAAAAGGCCGGCAUGAGGUCAGAGUGCUGGGGGUGGGAGCUACAGCCUCUAGACACGCGGACGAGAACAGGCCGGCACGAGGUCAGAGUGCUGGGGAUGGGAGCUACAGCCUCUCGACGCGGACGAGAACAGGCCGGCAUGAGGAUCCUACAUAGUGCUGGGGCGUGGGAGCUACAGCCUCUAGACACGGACGAGAACAGGCCGGCACAAGGUCAGAGUGCUGGGGCGUGGGAGCUACAGCCUCUAGACACGGACGAGAACAGGCCGGCACGAGGUCAGAGUGCUGGGGGUGGGAGCUACAGCCUCUAGACACGGACGAGAACAGGCCGGCACGAGGAUCCUACAUAGUGCUGGGGUGUGGGAGCUACAGCCUCUAGACGUGGACGAGAACAGGCCGGCACGAGGUCAGAGUGCUGAGGCGUGGGAGCUACAGCCUCUAGACACGGACGAGAACAGGCCGGCAUGAGGUCAGAGUGCUGGGCGUGGGAGCUACAGCCUCUAGACAUGGACGAGAACAGGCCGGCACGAGGUCGGAGUGCUGGGGCGUGGGAGCUACAGCCUCUAGACGCGGACGAGAACAGGCCAGCACGAGGUCGGAGUGCUGGGGCGUGGGAGAUACAGCCUCUAGACAUGGACGAGAACAGGCCGGCAUGAGGUCGGAGUGCUGUGGCACGGGAGCUACAGCCUCUAGACGCGGACAAGAACAGGCCGGCACGAGGUCAGAGUGCUGGGGGUGGGAGCUACAGCCUCUAGACACGCGGACGAGAACAGGCCGGCACGAGGUCAGAGUACUGGGGCGUGGGAGCUACAGCCUCUAGACGCGGACGAGAACAGGCCGGCACGAGGAUCCUAGUGCUGGGGAUGGGAGCUACAGCCUCUAGACAUGGACGAGAACAGGCCAGCACGAGGUCAGAGACCAAGCUCAUCCCUCCCCGGUGCUGCACUGCACACAGCUGGGAGUCUGGGCCCCUGCCCAGCAGGCCUACAUGUCUGCCACCCAGGCCUGGUGUCCUGGCAGCCAGCAUCACCUGUCUCAGCACCAUGUAAAAAUGAAGGGCUGCAAAUGACCUGAGCAAAAUGAGGCACAAAAUUGGAUAAGGGAAUCCCUACUGAGGAAAAGAAACGAGUCUUUCUAAGGAAAAUGGAAAACCACUGAUGCUUUCUGAAAUGACAAGCAGUGGUGCAAAAAAAACCCACUUCCAUGGCAACAAGUUCUGGUGGCCCAAGCAAGGGACACUGGAGUUCCACAGUCUUCACUCCCUAGCGGCACCAACUUCGGCUGAACUUGACCUGACCUUGACCUCACCCCAGAUUCUUUCUUCACUGUGCUUGUCAGAGCCCAGUGGGGUGGCAGGGGAGGCAGAAACGGGUGCCUUGGUCCCUGCUCCCCGGGCACAUCUGACUGUACUUCCUCUGCUAAAAGAUGUCCCUGGCACAAGGCGUGGCGCGGACUCGGCAGAGGUCUUCAUUACAGGUGUGCAAUCAAAAGGACGAUGAUGGAGCAGUUUUCUCCGGGCUGCGACGUCAGACGCCUCUCUCGGACCUGCGGGAAACACCGUGCCCCGGGCCGGGCAUCUGGCACAGCGGUUAAAUCACCACAGGCUCUGUCUCCUACCCAGCUUCCUGCUGAUGUGCACUGUGGGAGGCCGCAGUGAGGGCUCCAGUCCUAGGGUCCCUGCCACCCACGCAGGAGACCAAGGUGGAGUCUGGCGUCAACCAGCGGAUGGGAUAUCUUCCUCCAGCUCUGUCUCCCGCCUCUCUAAUAAACACAAACACACUGAAACCACAACAGAAUCCAACACAGAAAGGCAUGCUGUCCAGGACACAGCUGCUGGGCAGCCCAGCUGGGCUAUCCCAGGGAGGACGCAGAGCGUGCGGACGGAAGGGGUCUUUCUGAAGGAUCCGCAGAAGCUCAACAGCAGCGGCAAACCCACAGCUCCCUUGUCUGCUGGAGUCGGUGCCAGCGAGGACACACCCCUCAACUGCCGGCCGCAGUGCUGAAUUUUCCCGUACGGGGAGUGCUGGGCACGGGCAAUGGUCUGGCCACGCUGUGGGCCGGGGAGCAGAGCACCAGGAUGUUCUGGCUAAGUCGUGGGGCAGGUGAAGACUUGGGGCCUCCUCACUCACUCCUGGGCCUGCAGGUAAGGCAACACUGAGCCUGCGUGUGUGAGCCGCGAGCCGGGGGGUCCAGAGAAGCAAGGGGGGGUCCAGCAGCACAAGCACUGGCCCAGCAGCCCCUCGAUCUCCUGCAUUCAAGCUGCUGGGGCCUCUUGCAUGGCAAGACAGCAAGCACCUGCUCCCCUAGGGGAACCGGAAGUCUCAAGGAGAGAAGUGGACAUGCAUGUGGCAGCUGCUGCGAGGGCAGAGCCAGCUAACAGGUUAGCAGGGCCAGAGGCACGGAGAGCCGGCGCGCCAUAGGAGACACAGCACCACCUGCAGGAAAGCCGGAGCACAGCAUCCCAGCCACGGGGUUGGUGAGCACAAAGCCCCAGGCCAGCAGGCUCCCCAUGCCCAUGGGACCGCGGCCAGAAGACGGGCACCAGGCAGAGGCCAGUGACGAGGGAGGCUUGCAGGGCACCAGGAAGGGCUGGACUGGACUGAACUCCACGUGGCGGCGGCGUGGAAGCGCUCAGGCACCGUCAGACAUUCGUCUCCUGACAGAGCCUGAGGGAGGCUGCUGGAGGUGCAGCGAGGGGCGGGGACCCUGUGCUCUGGAGCCAGGCAGGUGCUCCAGGGCACCAUGUGAGGAAGCAGCCCCGCCGGCUCGCCUGAGAUGCUGCCACCCAAAGCUGGCAGUGGCCCAGGAGCCUAGCUAUCAUGUUUCAUAACCGCAACACCAGACAGCAGGCUCCAUGUCUGAGGCGGGACGAACCCCGUCCAUGUUUCCAGGGAGGUUGGCUGAGCUUCCGCCUCACUCUGCCAGGGAGGGCUUGGCACAGGCCAGCUCCCCGGGGGCCCUCUCGGUCACCCAUCAUCUGUGGUGGAUGCAGAAGGGACCUCCAGGUAGGCCCUCCCCUCGCCAAGACAGGGACAGGCACUGAGGAGUUUCUCCCCGCAGAACCCCAGGUCCCAGAGGCCCCAGGCAGGGUUCAGGCUGCCUGAGGUGAGCUCAGGCCAGCUCCCAGAAACCACUGUCAGCCCCUACACCUUUCCAAGGCCCUGCGGCCCAGUGACACACAGCAGCUGAGCACAACUGGCCUAAGCGCCUCUUGUUCUGUUAAAAAAAUAAAAAUAAAAUCCUCUCUGCCCAGAGCAGAGACUCUUCAAAUCGGA